CCUAGACCUACCUGUGAUAGCGGCGGCAGCUUGCUGGAACAGCGUGGAUUGAGAACCAAACAGGAAGCAGGAUUCCAAGAUAAAGAAUGCUGGAAGUCUCAAAACAGCGAUGCCAAUGUUUCAAGCAUGUAAUCAACUGUAAAAAACAACAACAACAAACAAACAACAACUAAUUCAGCUGCAUUAAAAUCAUUCUAUACACUAUGAAGAUCAUCGGACCAUUCAUCCACUGCCUUGAUUGAAAAUAUAGUUAUGUUCUAUAUUUGGACGGAGUAGGACGUGAAAAAGAAGAUUCUAGAAGGUUUUCAUUUUAGCACUAUGUUUGUCAGCAUUCACAUUGUGUAAUUCUCUCAUGUUAUUAAGAAUUGUACAUCAUCACUAAUCUCAUCGCUACUCUCAUCACUAAUAUCAUUACUACUCUCAUCACUACUCUUAUCACUAAUCUCAUCACUGAUCUCAUCACUACUCUCAUCACUAUUCUCAUCACUAUUCUCAUCACUAAUUUCAUCACUAAUCUCAUCACUAAUCUCAUUUUUAUCACUACUCUCUCAUAUUACUUAGAAUUGUACUUUUUGGUAUAUUGACAAAUUUAUAUCAGAUUUUGCAUAGCUAAAUAAAUUCUUCAUUGUUUUGUCAUGUUUUAUCUAACAUUCUCAUCUUCUCACUGCGUUAGUUUAGUUUUGGACCAUUGUGAACUGGUCAAAAUCUAUCACAGGGAUGGGACCAAUGUAAAUGGGCAUAGGACACCAAUAGUUUUAAUUCAGAUUCUUUUAUAAAACAAAUUCAUGUGGAUAAAAUAUCAAUUUUCUCAAAAUUUCUUAAUUUUGAACAUCCAAUGUUUGAACUCAACUACACAUGUAAUCAAAUUUCUAAAAUAUCAAAUGAAUACAAUUAUAUUAAUACAAUAACACACAUGUCUAUUUUGU